rnacentral:miRNA from 1 species
GAGAUGCCUCCAUGAGAUCCAGCUGUAAGGCAUCUUCCUCAGUUAGUGAUCAACGAGAGAGGGGCCAGUCCAUGGUGGGUGGUACAAUCUCUGGGCUGGUGGUCCUG